rnacentral:rRNA from 1 species
UACGGAGGAUGCAAGCGUUGUCCGGAUUUAUUGGGUUUAAAGGGUGCGUAGGUUGUUUUAUAAGUCCGUGGUAAAAUCCUGCUGCUUAACAGUAGACUAGCCAUUGAUACUGUAAGACUUGAGUACUGAAGAGGUAGGCGGAAUUGGUGGUGUAGCGGUGAAAUGCAUAGAUACCACCAGGAACUCCGAUUGCGAAGGCAGCUUACUGGUCAGUAACUGACACUGAGGCACGAAAGCGUGGGGAUCAAACAGG